CUUAGAGACGCGUUGUAGCCAAUCCUGGGGAAGUCGAACAUGAAGGAUAACUGAGAUCCCAGAGUGGGAACAGGAAGCCUCACUGCACUGAACAGGUCAAUUUUGCCAAGACCAUGAAAGGGGGACUCAAUGCAGUGACAAACCAACUACAAGAAGGAACUAGAAACUGAGGCAGCACAGUACGAACAAGGAGAACCUGUUAUCAAUCACUCAGGACCAUGGAGGCUACCAGUUUUGGAAAAGAUUUUAGCAUUUCAUGCUCGUGUGUUUCUUGAUCCAUUCAUUAUAUG